AUUGAACGCUGGCGGCAGGCCUAACACAUGCAAGUCGCACGAUUGGCGGCCGGUUUAGUACUGUCUGGGAAACUGCCUGCUGGAGGGGGAUACCUCCUUGACACGGUAGCUAAUACCGCAUACCAUCGGAUGUGCCCCGCUGGGAUUAGCUAGUCGGUGGGGUAACGGCUCACCUGGGCGACGAUCCCUAGCUGGUCUGAGAGGAUGACCAGCCACACUGGAACUGAGACACGGUCCAGACUCCUACGGGAGGCAGCAGUGGGGAAUAUUGCACAAUGGGCGCAAGCCUGAUGCAGCCAUGCCGCGGGGAUGAAGAAGGCCGUCGGGUUGGAAAGUGCGUUCAGCGGGGAGGCGUUACCCGCAGAAGAAGCACCGGCUAACUCCGUGCCAGCAGCCGCGGUAAGGC
rnacentral:rRNA from 1 species